AGAUAAAGCUUGGACAAAAACCUCCCCUUCCUCUCUCAGGCUCUAUGUGCAUCCAUCCCAAAGAUGCACACUUGGUCGAAGAGGACGACUUUCCCUGACAGAGAAGGACGAGUCUCUGGUCAAGUGUAUAUGAGUAGCUGUGAUUCCCUGCUAGAACCUCCAAACAAGCUCUCUCUCUUCUUUGCUCUAACUUCCCUCUUU
rnacentral:sRNA from 1 species